rnacentral:rRNA from 1 species
UAGGGAAUCUUCCACAAUGGGCGAAAGCCUGAUGGAGCAACGCCGCGUGUGUGAUGAAGGGUUUCGGCUCGUAAAACACUGUUGUAAGAGAAGAAUGACAUUGAGAGUAACUAUUCAAUGUGUGACGGCAUCUUACCAGAAAGGAACGGCUAAAUACGUGCCAG